GUACGCGUGGCUGCCACUUUCUGUUGCGGAUCGCGCCCUUCCAUCACUAACGGUGCCCACUCUUUGAUCUGCGCGUGAUCUUCAGAGUAACGCAUACCGCGAAACAGCGAGCUUUGUUGCCCGCCACGUCUUCCAGUAACACGUCCCGGAUACCGCAGGCCAGAAGCCGGGGCGUGUCACCGUCAAACAAUCCCGGCCACCAGGGUUUCAGGGUAUUCACGGCCUCAUCCAGCGUGGGCAGGUUCAGAUAAAUGSCGCAAGGUUAAAACUCAAAUGAAUUGACGGGGGCCCGCACAAGCGGUGGAGCAUGUGGUUUAAUUCGAUGCAACGCGAAGAACCUUACCUGGUCUUGACAUCCACAGAACUUUCCAGAGAUGGAUUGGUGCCUUCGGGAACUGUGAGACAGGUGCUGCAUGGCUGUCGUCAGCUCGUGUUGUGAAAUGUUGGGUUAAGUCCCGCAACGAGCGCAACCCUUAUCCUUUGUUGCCAGCGGUCCGGCCGGGAACUCAAAGGAGACUGCCAGUGAUAAACUGGAGGAAGGUGGGGAUGACGUCAAGUCAUCAUGGCCCUUACGACCAGGGCUACACACGUGCUACAAUGGCGCAUACAAAGAGAAGCGACCUCGCGAGAGCAAGCGGACCUCAUAAAGUGCGUCGUAGUCCGGAUUGGAGUCUGCAACUCGACUCCAUGAAGUCGGAAUUGCUAGUAAUCGUGGAUCAGAAUGCCACGGUGAAUACGUUCCCGGGCCUUGUACACACCGCCCGUCACACCAUGGGAGUGGGUUGCAAAAGAAGUAGGUAGCUUAACCUUCGGGAGGGCGCUUACCACUUUGUGAUUCAUGACUGGGGUGAAGUCGUAACAAGGUAACCGUAGGGGAACCUGCGGUUG
rnacentral:rRNA from 1 species